rnacentral:rRNA from 1 species
GAAUGCUGACAUAAGUAACGAUAAAGCGGGUGAAAAGCCCGCUCGCCGGAAGACCAAGGGUUCCUGUCCAACGUUAAUCGGGGCAGGGUGAGUCGACCCCUAAGGCGAGGCCGAAAGGCGUAGUCGAUGGGAAACAGGUUAAUAUUCCUGUACUUGGUGUUACUGCGAAGGGGGGACGGAGAAGGCUAUGUUAGCCGGGCGACGGUUGUCCCGGUUUAAGCAUGUAGGCGGAGGUUCCAGGUAAAUCCGGUACCUUUUAACGCUGAGGUGUGAUGACGAGGCACUACGGUGCUGAAGUAACAAAUGCCCUGCUUCCAGGAAAAG